rnacentral:rRNA from 1 species
CGGUAAUUCCAGCUCCACUAGUAUAAAUCGUCAUUGCUGCGGUUAAAAAGCUCGUAGUUGGAUUUGAGGCACGUACAGCGGUUCGGCUCUGCCGUUAAUCACUGUUGUGUCUAAUUUGUUGGUUUUCUGUUGGUAACUUCGGUUCCUUCAGUGGCUAGCAAGUUUACCUUGAUCAAAUCAAAGCGCUCAAAGCAGGCGAUUGCUUGCAUUUGGGAUCAUGGAAUAAUAAAAUAGGAUUUCGAUUCUAUUUAUUGGUUUAGAAUUGAAUUAAUGAUUAAGAGAGACAAUUCGGGGGCAUUCGUAUCCCUGCGCGAGAGGUGAAAUUCGUGGACCGCAGGGGGACGUCCAAAAGCGAAAGCAUUUGCCAAGAAUGUCUUCAUUAAUCAAGAACGAAAGUCAGAGGUUCGAAGGCGAUUAGAUACCGCCCUAGUUCUGACCGUAAACUAUGCCAUCUAGCGAUCCGAUAGGGUAUUCAUGCCUUGUCGGGGAGCUUCCCGGAAACGAAAGUUUUUCGGUCCGGGGGUAGUAUGGUUGCAAAGCUGAAACUUAAAGAAAUUGACGGAAGGGCACCACCAGGAGUGGAGCCUGCGGCUUAAUUUGACUCAACACGGGAA